rnacentral:rRNA from 1 species
UACGGAGGGUGCAAGCGUUAUCCGGAUUUACUGGGUUUAAAGGGUGUGUAGGCGGGUAUUUAAGUCAGUGGUGAAAUCUCCGAGCUCAACUUGGAAACUGCCAUUGAUACUAUUUAUCUUGAAUUUUGUUGAGGUAGGCGGAAUAUGUCAUGUAGCGGUGAAAUGCAUAGAUAUGACAUAGAACACCGAUUGCGAAGGCAGCUCACUACGGAUGUAUUGACACUGAGGCACGAAAGCGUGGGGAUCAAACAGG